GAUCAAGGGUAUACGAGUAGCUGUACUCCCCUGCUAGAACUUCCAAACAAGCUCUCAAGGUCCAGAUGUGUGGACCUUAUU
rnacentral:sRNA from 1 species